GAAGUUUUAAGAAAACCAAGAUAAAAUUGUAGUGUUUGGAUACUCAGCGAACAAUGCUGACAAAUAUAUAAAAUACAACAAACUAUCGGACGGAAAUUGACAAUUUAUAAUUGACAAUCUGUUUAUAUGUCCCGACCCCUCGCGAUAAAGCGUUUUCUUUACAUGUAAUGUGUUUAAUUUAAGUUUGUCUUACUUGGCCAGAUAAAUUUUAAUUACUUU